rnacentral:rRNA from 1 species
GCUUAGCCCUAAACCUAAAUAGUUUUACAACAAAAUUAUUUGCCAGAGAACUACUAGCCACCGCUUAAAACUCAAAGGACUUGGCGGUACUUUAUAUCCCCCUAGAGGAGCCUGUUCUAUAAUCGAUAAACCCCGCUAUACCUCACCAUCUCUUGCUAAUUCAGCCUAUAUACCGCCAUCUUCAGCAAACCCUAAAAAGGCAGCAAAGUAAGCACAAGAAUAAACAUAAAAACGUUAGGUCAAGGUGUAGCCAAUGAGAUGGGAAGAAAUGGGCUACAUUUUCUUCUAAAAGAACACCACGGAUUUCUUUAUGAAACUAAAGAAUGAAGGCGGAUUUAGUAGUAAAUUAAGAAUAGAGAGCUUAAUUG